UUCAUCUGGCUGAGAUCACAACAUCUGCGCUGCUGCCGCAACUGUGCAUGCUGCUACUGCCAUCAAAGAGAUGCUGUUGCCGCGACUGCGCACAGCCACAGCGCUGCGCCGAGCCUUACAUUACCUACAUUCGGCUGUUAGUCUUGUGUGCGUGAACUGGUCUGCCUGCCAACCAGUCCGAUGCCCGCACAUGCUAUUGCACAUAUAGUGGUAGCUAUAGGAAAUAUUUAUAUCUGUGUUUGUGUGUAUGUGUAUGGGUAUGCAUGGCCAGCGAGCGCAUACGCGCAUGCUGCUGCCGAUUGCUUUGCAGAAUGGCUUUGCAAUAUUCGCCUUUAGUGGUACUUCGCGCUUCUUUCUUGCUGGUUCGUUCGUUUGAUCAGCUAAACGACAACACGACGCGGCAAACACGACCACGUAAACAGCACGUCCCAGCGACGGCGGCACACAUAGAUAGACAGAACGAAAAACCAAACAACAAUCAGCCGGCUAACGAAACGACGACGGCAAAUCCAAACGCGGUGCAAAAAUAGUAAAUAAUCGAAAAUGUGCGCUUAAAACUGCAAACAAUAACAAAAACUGUACGACAUUUGAAAAUCAUUUGUCAACUAUUUGCUUGCCAAAGUAUUCCUGGAAGUUACUAAAAAAGACUAAAAUAGAAAUUGCAAUACAAAAAUAA
rnacentral:lncRNA from 1 species